GGUCCUUUGGCCCAAUGGUAAGGCGUCUGACUACGAUCACAAGUAUCAAUCAGGAGAUUCUGGGUUCGAGCCCCAGGAGGACCU